GUAGGUGGCGAGCGUUAUCCGGAAUUAUUGGGCGUAAAGAGGGAGCAGGCGGCACUAAGGGUCUGUGGUGAAAGAUCGAAGCUUAACUUCGGUAAGCCAUGGAAACCGUAGAGCUAGAGUGUGUGAGAGGAUCGUGGAAUUCCAUGUGUAGCGGUGAAAUGCGUAGAUAUAUGGAGGAACACCAGUGGCGAAGGCGACGAUCUGGCGCAUAACUGACGCUCAGUCCCGAAAGCGUGGGGAGCAAAUAGGAUUAGAUACCCUAGUAGUCCACGCCGUAAACGAUGAGUACUAAGUGUUGGGGGUCAGACCUCAGUGCUGCAGUUAACGCAAUAAGUACUCCGCCUGAGUAGUACGUUCGCAAGAAUG
rnacentral:rRNA from 1 species